AAGUAUCUUAUCAAUUUUUAUCAUUCUUUCUAGUAUCUUCUAACUUGAUAUUGAUAUUUGGAUGAGUAGGUCAUAGUUCGAGAAGCCCAACACUCAUGCAUGGUAUUGAUUGGAACCCAAGUGGUGGCAUUUUACAUAUUGUGCCUAAUGAGUUGAACCAAGUGGUUGACGGGUAUACACCCUUGGCUUCUCGUUUGGGUGUUUUAGCUUGAGAUGGGAACCUUAUGCCCCUCACUUAUAGAACUUGGAGCCAUGUACCGAAGGAAAACAAAGAGAGAAUUUGGAGAGAAGUAAAGGUCAAUACAGAUGCCGAUGAGUCAAUGAAGAAAUUUGUUUUGGCAUCUGUUGGAAAAAAAAUGGAGAGAGUGGAAGGCUAGAGUUAAACAAAUGGGGUAUACGCCAUUCGACAACGAUGCUGAUAGGUUAACUCAUCGACCCGAAAGAGUACAUGAGCAUCAAUGGCGAAGCUUAGUCUAUUAUUAGGGCACUCGGAAGGCACAG